UCACCAGCUUGUAAUUACUUUUCACACCUUGGUUACAUCUUGAUGGUCCUCCUUGAGCCAAGUCUUUGUCUUAUGCUAAUGACCUUAUGCUUUGCUAAUA